UGGGUGUACGCAGGCAAAAGCAAGCGCCAUGUUUAAUUUGUUUGAUCCGUUUGACCAGUUUUAUUCGUUACUUUUUCACGGUUUAGAAGGUGAACCCAACGAGGAAAAUGGAUUUUUUGGAGUUCAGACGUCGUAAUAAUGAAAUCCUUCUGGAACCGCAAUCGACCGAAACAUGGUCAUAUUGAUCACCGUUUUCGCGGCGUUGAUCUGCAUCCUGAUUGGCACUAGCCCCCUAGAUGGACAAGUUCGACUUCCGCUGAGGCAAGUACAUGGUAUGUUGCAGACUUCACCGUGGAAAAAAACCGCAAGACCGAAAGCGACGCCGUCUGUGACGAGAUAGAUGGAAAGCCGGUUCCCUGACCAUUGACCUUGAUAGUGAUGAUCAUCGUUUCAUUGUACCUUGUCCGGCACUACCGUUCGAUCAUCUGGUAUAUAUCUGGCCGACCGUGGAGGAAGGUGAACUUCGCAUAGUUGCUCAGGAAGACUACGAAGAGGUCGGCAUGAAUUCCGGAAGGAUCAGGAUGAAGGGUACUGAGGAUCGCAUGGUUUGCAAUUGUUCGUGUGCAGAUGCCUGCGGUAUAUAAUUCGUGCAUGGUGGCCUCACAAUUGGAUCUUCAACGUGGAGCUCCAUCGUCGAUGUCAUCAAAAGCCCAUAGUGACAGAAAUUAAGAAACGAAAGUGGAGGUGAGUCGGCAACACUCUACACACGGGAAGAAACGAAAUCUGCAAACAAGCGUUAGAUUGGAACCCAGCAGGACAUCACAGCAGAGGCAGGCCCAGAGGCUCGUGGCAGCGCAACCUCACCAAAGAAAUAAAGGAAGUCGACAGAAAUUUGACCUGGCCACAGGUCAAAGCGAUAGCAGGCAAUCGCCCAGGGUGGAGAUCUUUCAAUUUGGCCCUCUACACCACCGUGGAAGGUCAGGACUGAAAGUUGACGACGCAUCUGUCUUCAAGCAGUACUUUAUUCAUUCCUGCCGUCGAAAUGGUCGCCUCAGCUAUUUUGUGUCCACAGAAAUAAUUAAAAAGUCAGUCAAUUUGUUAAUGAUAACGAGAUUGCUUAAAUUCAUAAGUAGGUAAAUUAAAUUUUAUUACAAAUCCAAGUAAAAAUCAAUACAAUAACGAAUAAAAUAAUGUUGGUUGUGGUACAUGUUUUUUUCCUGUUUUUUCUCCUCAAUGGGUGAUUAAACUGUUUUCCAUCCUCUUUCGCCUUGAAUUUUGAAUAGCUUUAAACACCUAGAGGUUUUUACAGCUACACGAAAUUUUCGCCGAAAAAAGAUGAAAUUCAUUUUAAUCACCCAUUGAGAAGCAUUGGUACGCGUUUACAUCGUUUUUCUCCAUUACGUUGAUAGCAUUACAUCAUACCGAGUACGUCAAAUUUAUUACAUCGAGCGAAUUACGUCGUACUAGGUUAUUACAUCAAUAGCCCGCGUGUACAUCGGGCUGUGUAAUAUCACUCGAUCGAUGUAACGACCUGGUUGCAGCGAUUUCGAUGUAAUAUUCAACAACU